AUGACACCUCCCAUGAAUGCUGCAUUCAGCGGGGGACAGGCCAUAUGCAGAAAUAAACAGGGACCCGGGACACACUGGCAGCUCUUUAAAAGGUUGUUAAUAAUGUGCUGUUCACGUUCCUGGGAGACUGCUGCCAUGAUCUGCCAGCAACAGACGCUGGCAGUCCUGAUGGGAGUAACUCCUGCCGUUGCAGAGCCCUCGCCUGUCACCAGGCACCAGCCCAACAGGCCCUUCCCUGGCCAUGACCAGCAGCACUGCAGAGGGGAACACGGUCCUGUGGCAGGGACCUCGCUGAUCCAGGUGCCACAGGGCAGGGGACAACCUCAGGCUUUGCACUCAGGCUCUGGUGGACAGGAGGAGCCUCUGAGCAGGGCUGGUGGCUCCCAGCACGGACCCAGUCCUCAAAACCAGGAGGGGUUUUGUGAGGGUGAUGAGAUGCUGCUCCAGAUCAGGCAGGGCAGGGGAGAAAAGAGCAGACCUGCAGCUAGUGGGGCCAAGAGGACAGUCCCUGGAGAGCAGGACAGCCGUGGGACAGCUGGGUGGACACACAUCCAUCACUGCAGACAUUUCUCACACUGCAGCUCUCGAGCCAGCGUCUCCAUGCCUGUCCUAGAGCCUGAGCAAACAAGGUCCAGAGUGGUACAAGGGAGAGGGAAAUGGAAAAUCAUUCAAGCUGCCACGUUUCUGUGCAAUCCACAUCCAAGCUGGCCUCAACCUGAGCCCAUCAGCUCCCAGCUCUGGGCACAGGGAUGAGGGAAAGAGCAUGGAGCUUUCCCCCUUUCCUGUAGGCAGGGAUCAAAAUGUGUCAGGCUGGAAUUCUCCCAAGAGCAGCUCCCUCCUGGGCUUCGCUGCUGCUUCCUGUUCUCGGGGGCAGGAAAUACCAAGCAAACAGCUCCGUGAAUGACUUCAAAACUUCCACUUCCAGCGCCGGCUGCAAGAUGAGGAUGGAGGAGCGUGGAUGAUGGGAGCAGCCUGCCCAGAGGCUUUGCUCCCAUGGACCAUCCCCCCUCCAUCCCCUCUGCCCCUUGGGAAGUCAAGUCACAGGAACAGCUUCU
rnacentral:lncRNA from 1 species